UCAGCAGCCGCGGUAAUACGAAGGUUGCAAGCGUUGUUCGGAAUCACUGGGCUUAAAGCGUAUGUAGGCGGACCAGUAAGUAGUUUGUGAAAUCCCCCGGCUUAACCGGGGAAUUGCUUGCUAAACUACUGGUCUUGAGGCAAAUAGGGGUGCAUGGAACUCUUGGUGGAGCGGUGGAAUGCGUAGAUAUCAAGAGGAACGCCAGCGGCGAAAGCGGUGCACUGGAUUUGUCCUGACGCUCAGAUACGAAAGCGUGGGGAGCAAACGGGAUUAGAUACCCCGGUAGUCCACGCCCUAAACGAUGCCUACUAGGUUGUAGAACCUCUGACGGUUUUACGGCCGAAGCAAAAGUGUUAAGUAGGCCGCCUGGGAAGUACGGUCGCAAGGCUAAAACUCAAAGGAAUUGACGGGGGCCCGCACAAGC
rnacentral:rRNA from 1 species